GAUGAACGCUGGCGGCGUGCCUAAUACAUGCAAGUCGAGCGAACGGACGAGAAGCUUGCUUCUCUGAUGUUAGCGGCGGACGGGUGAGUAACACGUGGAUAACCUACCUAUAAGACUGGGAUAACUUCGGGAAACCGUAGCUAAUACCGGAGAAUAUUUUGAAUCUCAUGGUUCAAAAGUGAAAGACGGUCUUGCUGUCACUUAUAGAUGGAUCCGCGCUGCAUUAGCUAGUUGGUAAGGUAACGGCUUACCAAGGCAACGAUGCAUAGCCGACCUGAGAGGGUGAUCGGCCACACUGGAACUGAGACACGGUCCAGACUCCUACGGGAGGCAGCAGUAGGGAAUCUUCCGCAAUGGGCGAAAGCCUGACGGAGCAACGCCGCGUGAGUGAUGAAGGUCUUCGGAUCGUAAACCUCUGUUAUUAGGGAAGAACAGAUGUGUAAGUAACUGUGCACAUCUUGACGGUACCUAAUCAGAAAGCCACGGCUAACUACGUG
rnacentral:rRNA from 1 species